CUACGGGAGGCUCCAGUGAGGAAUAUUGCACAAUGGGGGGAACCCUGAUGCAGCAACGCCGCGUGGAGGAUGACGCAUUUCGGUGUGUAAACUCCUUUUAUAUGUCAAGAAAAUGACGGUAGCAUAUGAAUAAGCACCGGCUAACUCCGUGCCAGGCAGCCGCGGUAAUACGGAGGGUGCAAGCGUUACUCGGAAUCACUGGGCGUAAAGGACGCGUAGGCGGGUUGGAAAGUCAGGUGUGAAAUCCUAUAGCUUAACUGUAGAACUGCACUUGAAACUUCUAAUCUAGAGUAUGGGAGGGGGAGAUGGAAUUAGUGGUGUAGGGGUAAAAUCCGUAGAUAUCACUAGGAAUACCUAAAGCGAAGGCGAUCUCCUGGAACAUUACUGACGCUAAGGCGUGAAAGCGUGGGGAGCAAACAGGAUUAGAUACCCGUGUAGUC
rnacentral:rRNA from 1 species